ACGGAAGGCAGCAGUGGGGAAUAUUGCACAAUGGGGGAAACCCUGAUGCGGCGACGCCGCGUGAGUGAAGAAGUAUUUCGGUAUGUAAAGCUCUAUCAGCAGGAAAGAAAAUGACGGUACCUGACUAAGAAGCCCCGGCUAACUACGUGCCAGCAGCCGCGGUAAUACGUAGGGGGCAAGCGUUAUCCGGAUUUACUGGGUGUAAAGGGAGCGUAGACGGCUUUGCAAGUCUGAAGUGAAAGCCCGGGGCUCAACCCCGGAACUGCUUUGGAAACUGUAGAGCUAGAGUGCAGGAGAGGUAAGUGGAAUUCCUAGUGUAGCGGUGAAAUGCGUAGAUAUUAGGAGGAACACCAGUGGCGAAGGCGGCUUACUGGACUGUAACUGACGUUGAGGCUCGAAGGCGUGGGGAGCAAACAGGAUUAGAUACCCUGGUA
rnacentral:rRNA from 1 species